rnacentral:rRNA from 1 species
CACGUAGUUGGCCGGCGCUUCUUCUACAGGUACCGUCACUCACGCUUCGUCCCUGUCGAAAGAGGUUUACAACCCGAAGGCCGUCAUCCCUCACGCGGCGUCGCUGCAUCAGGCUUCCGCCCAUUGUGCAAUAUUCCCCACUGCUGCCUCCCGUAGGAGUCUGGGCCGUGUCCCAGUCCCAGUGUGGCCGGUCGCCCUCUCAGGCCGGCUACCCGUCGUCGCCUUGGUAGGCCAUCACCCCACCAACAAGCUGAUAGGCCGCGAGCCCAUCCCCUGACCGAAAAACUUUCCACACCCCAAGAUGCCCCGAGGCGUCAUAUCCGGUAUUAGCCCCCGUUUCCGAGGGUUAUCCCAAAGUCAGAGGCAGGUUGCUCACGUGUUACUCACCCGUUCGCCGCUCGAGUACCCCCGAAAGGGCCUUUCCGCUCGACUUGCAUGUGUUAAGCACGCCGCCAGCGUUCGUCCUGAGCCAGGAUCAAACUCU